AACAACCUGAGAUGUACGGAAAAGUAGCUUAUUAUAUUCAACCUACAUUACUUUGACGGGAUUUGCGAUAUAUUUAUAGAUAUUGGACUUCAGUAAUUUGUAAUAAGUAUUUAAUUUAUUACAGCAGAAGAUAAUAGAAGCAAAUUGAGCGAAGCCCACCUGCGAGACGCAGGUUAUGAAUAUAUAAGUGAACGGCAUGUUGGGCUAUUA
rnacentral:other from 2 species